UGAGUAACACGUGGGCAAUCUGCCCUGCACUUCGGGAUAAGCCUGGGAAACUGGGUCUAAUACCGGAUAGGACCUCAAGACGCAUGUCUUCUGGUGGAAAGCUUUUGCGGUGUGGGAUGGGCCCGCGGCCUAUCAGCUUGUUGGUGGGGUGACGGCCUACCAAGGCGACGACGGGUAGCCGGCCUGAGAGGGUGUCCGGCCACACUGGGACUGAGAUACGGCCCAGACUCCUACGGGAGGCAGCAGUGGGGAAUAUUGCACAAUGGGCGCAGGCCUGAUGCAGCGACGCCGCGUGGGGGAUGACGGCCUUCGGGUUGUAAACCUCUUUCACUAUCGACGAAGGUCCGGGUUUUCUCGGAUUGACGGUAGGUGGAGAAGAAGCACCGGCCAACUACGUGCCAGCAGCCGCGGUAAUACGUAGGGUGCGAGCGUUGUCCGGAAUUACU
rnacentral:rRNA from 1 species